rnacentral:misc_RNA from 1 species
UUAAGUUCAGCGGGUAAUCCUACCUGAUUUCAGAUCAAAAUUUGAAGAGGUAACCGAGGUCAACCUCAAAAUUCUGUAUAUCAAGACUGUCAGAUUCUAAGCAAAAAAAGCCAGGAUUUCAACAUUACUGCCGAAACUUAUUAGGCCAACAUGCUGUUAAAACAAAUCAACAGUGCAAGAACUCCAUUUUAGAAGGGCUG